CUGUCUUUACAGGUGAAUUCUACCUAGAUCCUACCUACUCUCAGGGUUCUGACAGGUGGAGAAGAUAAGACGAUUAUACUGCAAGGGAAAACAUGAUGCAAUACCGAUUAAAAGGAAGAGGUGGAUAAAGAAGAAAAAAAGACAGAAGAAAAGAAAGGAAAAAGAAAGAGAAAGAAAGAAAGAGAAAGAAAAGAAUAGAAUAGAAUUUGGUGUCCAUAAAAUGUUUUGAGGCCC
rnacentral:lncRNA from 10 species